UUUAAGUGCAGUUAUUGGUUUCUAUGUCCAACGUUUGAUCAUGCAUUUUAUUUAAAAAAAGUUUAUGAUCAGUAUUUUUAUCGUUGGUAGAUGGUAAAACAUAAAUAGCAUUUUAUUUUAUAUGUGAUUUAUUUUUUAAUUUUUUUUAUAAUUUUUUUAAAAUAAGUCAAACGGUUAAACGUCGAAAACAAUAACGUUUACUGCACAGACG
rnacentral:pre_miRNA from 1 species